rnacentral:rRNA from 1 species
UACGGGGGGGAGCAAGCUGUUGGUUCGGAUUCAUUGGGCGUAAAGGGUGCGUAGGUGGCGGGGCAAGUCUGGUGUGAAAUCUCGGAGCUCAACUCCGAAACUGCACUGGAUACUGCCUUGCUCGAGUACUGGAGAGGAGAUUGGAAUUUACGGUGUAGCAGUGAAAUGCGUAGAUAUCGUAAGGAAGACCAGUGGCGAAGGCGAAUCUCUGGACAGUUACUGACACUGAGGCAGCGAAGGCCAGGGAGCAAACGGG